AAUGGAGAUGAUGAUGUAAUGGAGGUGAUGAUGUUAUGGAGGUGAUGAUGUAAUGGAGGUGAUGAUGUUAUGGAGGUGAUGAUGUAAUGGAGGUGAUGAUGUAAUGGAGAUGAUGAUGUAAUGGAGGUGAUGAUGUUUAGGAGAGGAUGAUGUAAUGGAUGUAAUGGAGAUGAUGAUGUAAUGGAGGUGAUGAUGUUAUGGAGAUGAUGAUGUAAUGGAUGUAAUGGAGAUGAUGAUGUAAUGGAGGUGAUGAUGUUAUGGAGAUGAUGAUGUAAUGGAUGUAAUGGAGGUGAUGAUGUUAUGGAGGUGAUGAUGUUAUGGAGAUGAUGAUGUAAUGGAUGUAAUGGAGGUGAUGAUGUUAUGGAGGUGAUGAUGUUAUGGAGGUGAUGAUGUAAUGGAUGUUAUGGAGGUGAUGAUGUAAUGGAGGUGAUGAUGUUAUGGAGAUGAUGAUGUAAUGGAUGUAAUGGAGAUGAUGAUGUAAUGGAGAUCAUGAUGUAAUGGAUGUAAUGCAGGUGAUGAUGUUAUGUAGGUGAUGACGUUAUGGAGGUGAUGAUGUUAUGGAGGUGAUGAUGUAAUGGAGAUGAUGAUGUAAUGGAGGUGAUGACGUUAUGGAGAUGAUGAUGUAAUGGAGGUGAUGAUGUUAUGGAGGUGAUGAUGUAAUGGAGGUGAUGAUGUUAUGGAGGUGAUGAUGUAAUGGAGGUGAUGAUGUUAUGGAGGUGAUGAUGUUAUGGAGAUGAUGAUGUUAUGGAGGUGAUGAUGUAAUGGAAGUGAUGAUGUAAUGGAGGUGAUGACGUUAUGGAGAUGAUGAUGUAAUGGAGGUGAUGAUGUUAUGGAGGUGAUGAUGUAAUGGAGGUGAUGAUGUUAUGGAGAUGAUGAUGUUAUGGAGGUGAUGAUGUUAUGGAGGUGAUGAUGUUAUGGAGGUGAUGAUGUAAUGGAGGUGAUGAUGUAAUGGAGAUGAUGAUGUAAUGGAGGUGAUGAUGUUAUGGAGGUGAUGAUGUUAUGGAGAUGAUGAUGUAAUGGAGGUGAUGAUGUUAUGGAGAUGAUGAUGUUAUGGAGGUGAUGAUGUAAUGGAGGUGAUGAUGUUAUGGAGAUGAUGAUGUAAUGGAGGUGAUGGUGUUAUGGAGGUGAUGAUGUUAUGGAGAUGAUGAUGUUAUGGAGGUGAUGAUGUAAUGGAGGUGAUGAUGUUAUGGAGGUGAUGAUGUUAUGGAGGUGAUGAUGUAAUGGAGGUGAUGAUGUUAUGGAGGUGAUGAUGUAAUGGAGGUGAUGGUGUUAUGGAGGUGAUGAUGUAAUGGAGGUGAUGGUGUAAUGGAGGUGAUGAUGUAAUGGAGGUGAUGACGUUAUGGAGGUGAUGAUGUAAUGGAGGUGAUGACGUUAUGGAGGUGAUGGUGUUAUGGAGAUGAUGAUGUUAUGGAGGUGAUGAUGUUAUGGAGGUGAUGAUGUUAUGGAGGUGAUGAUGUUAUGGAGGUGAUGAUGUUAUGGAGGUGAUGGUGUUAUGGAGGUGAUGAUGUUAUGGAGGUGAUGAUGUUAUGGAGGUGAUGAUGUAAUGGAGGUGAUGAUGUUAUGGAGGUGAUGAUGUUAUGGAGGUGAUGAUGUUAUGGAGGUGAUGAUGUUAUGGAGGUGAUGAUGUUAUGGAGGUGAUGAUGUUAUGGAGGUGAUGAUGUUAUGGAGGUGAUGAUGUUAUGGAGGUGAUGAUGUUAUGGAGGUGAUGGUGUUAUGGAGGUGAUGAUGUAAUGGAGGUGAAGAAGGUGAUUGGUAACUUAAAGAUAUCAGCAGCAAGUCAUGAUGAGAUUGGUGCCUCUUUUGUGAAAUCAGUGUCUUCCUCGAAUACUGAGCCUCUAACGUAUAUCUUCACCAAAUCUAUGCAAACUGGUACUGUUCCUAAAAAAUAAAAAUAAAAAGUUAUCCCACUUUAUAAAUCUGGGGAUCCAAUAUAUUUUACAGAUUAUUGGCCAAUAUCUGUACUAAGAAAAAAAAAUGAAAAGAAAAAAAUAUUUUCUAUUAUGAUCAACAAUAUGGAUUUCGUAAAAAACGACUUCAUAGAUAUGGCUCUUUUGCAACUUGUGGAUAAAAUCUUUGCAGCCCUGAAACAACAAUGAAUACGCUCUUGGCAUCUUUUCAGAUUUAACCAAAGCGUUUGACACGGUUGAUCAUGAAAUAUUACUUUAUAAAUUGUAUUGUUAUGGUUUUCAUGAUUAUACAUAUAAUUGGUUAUAUAGUUAUGUUUAUGACAGAGAACAAUGUGUUUAUGCUGUGCAUCUACCAGAGCUAAGAUAUCAUGUGGUGUCCCACAGGGUUGGAUAAUUGGACCUUUGUUAUUUUUAAUAUAUAUCUAUGUCCUU